AUUGAACGCUGGCGGCAUGCUUUACACAUGCAAGUCGAGCGGCAGCGCGGGGGGCAACCCUGGCGGCGAGCGGCGAACGGGUGAGUAAUGCAUCGGAACGUACCCUGGAGUGGGGGAUAACGCCGCGAAAGCGGCGCUAAUACCGCAUAUGCUCUGAGGAGGAAAGUGGGGGACCUGCAAGGGCCUCACGCUCUGGGAGCGGCCGAUGUCCGAUUAGCUAGUUGGUGGGGUAAAGGCUUACCAAGGCGACGAUCGGUAGCUGGUCUGAGAGGAUGAUCAGCCACACUGGGACUGAGACACGGCCCAGACUCCUACGGGAGGCAGCAGUGGGGAAUUUUGGACAAUGGGGGCAACCCUGAUCCAGCCAUGCCGCGUGAGUGAAGAAGGCCUUCGGUUGUAAAGGUACUCUUUUGGUUCGGGUAAGGAAAGUAG
rnacentral:rRNA from 1 species